rnacentral:misc_RNA from 1 species
AAACAUAUCUUUUGCAAGUUAUAUUUUUAAUUUACUAAAUGGACUGGUUUAAUCCUAUUUUGUUGUUGCCAAGCUAAAAACAAUUGUUUACACUUAAAUUAAUUCAAGUUUGAUUGUACAUGUUUUUUUCAUGUGUUACCUGCAAGAUCUAUUACUAGUAUUCAUAAUUAUCCAAGUUCAAGGUUAUCACUAACAUGACUAAAUAAAUGUUGCACUUAUCGAAAAGACCCAGCCGGAGAUCCAGUUCCAGUUCAUAUUUAUUCAAUGUAAAUGCUAACUCUUUCUAUGUCCAUUUUCUGCACCUUUCUUUCCUGCAUAUGUAUGAUGUACUUAAUAUCUGUUACCAAACAAAAAGUUUAUAUUAACAUCUUUCUUUUUAAUAAUUCAGUUAAUAAAUUGAUUAUAAAAAGUU